ensembl:snRNA U4 U4 spliceosomal RNA
AGCUUGGCGCAGUGGCAGUAUCAUAGCCAAUGAGGCUUAUGUGAGCCGCGAUUGUUGCUAAUUGAAAACUUUUCCCAAUAAUCAUUCAACAUCUGGCAAAUUGGGGCCAGU